GAGUGAGAGAAGUUGAAUAGAUUGCACCCAUGCACUAAUCAAAGGCCAUAAUCAGUAUGCCCAAACACAAUAGGCAGAUUUUGCCCAUUCCUUCUACUAGCUUCUCCAACAAACACAAUCAUUAGAAGAUUCAUAAGUGUCAUAAAACCAACUGCAACUGGCGUUUGGUAAUUAAUGACAUGAGUGCGCAGAUUUGCAGGGUUUCAUUUUAACAAAUUAAAAGAUUCUGGAGUGUUUGGCAGGGGGCCACGAAUUGUGUGAUCAGGUGCGUGUAGCCCACAAGUGGAAGAGUCCGAUUCCCAAAGUGGUUUACGGCAAUAUGACAAACACACAAAGGUGAGAAGUGGUUUUUAUUUUGUUUUUAUGAAAUUAAAUACCGAAAUAAUGUUCUUUAAAAUAUUAACACAAAUAAAAUAAAAACAAUCCGGAGUUAUCGGGAUUGAAGCCAGUUUCUUACGGCUUCAAGAGAAAAUGCAAAAUGCUUUUGGUGCGCUGCCAAUAAGAUGAUAUUUAAAUCAGCCCGAUGUAUUGGUUUUUGAAGGAUUUUUCCACUUAUGCGGACGUUUUGAUGCAGAAAAACAGAUGCCAGCUGGAAAACACUACGGCUUCUGAUUAAAUGAGACGAGAAGUGAUUGUUUGUUUUGCUGCAUGAAAGACAGAGACACAAAAUAAAAGGAAUCAAGUUGCAUCAGGUUUCAUGGUUUCUCGUCAGCUCGGACUUGUUGAGGGAUGCCUGGAUCUGAAAGCCGUAGGUCCGUGUGGGUACCCCUGCGUUAAGCAUCCCAUUGAUUGAACUGCUCCUCCAGGGCAAAAGCAACUUCAGUGCUUUGGUUAACACCCCUCCAGCCAACUGCAGGGCUUUCCGAUUGGCUGUCUGCCUCUAAGCUGCCUGUCUUCUAGGCUUAUUGUUUCGCAAGCCCUACACAGUCAAUAUUAAGCUUGGCUAAUGUGAUAUAGAGGCAGCUGGAGGAGCCACAGAUAUUACCAUGACACUACAGAGUAAGGGGUGUAAUGCCAUUAAAAAUAAAUCAGGUGGUUUGAUGAUUUGGCAUGGUCCGGGGAUUCUGUGAGACAUUAGGUGGGGCAGUUGCUAUAAUUCUAUUACACAUUCUGGGGGAACCUCUGAGGAACAAUUGAUUCCCUUCGCCUAGUUCAGCAUAAUUCAAUUUCUUUUCAUCAAAGGUCUGAAAAGAGGAAGGGAAAAUAGAAAGUUUACUUUUGCAAUUGGAAAAAUCAGCCACCAGAAGGAUCAAUCCUGCACUCGUGUAAAAAAGCAGAUGUUCUGGAGACCUUUCACCUAAAGUUGGUCAAAUUAUGUUGAUGUCAUGCUACGGAAACUUUUCUGUAAGUCGGACAGAAAAAAAACAACAACAAAAAUAACUAAGCAGAAGAUUUAGGAUAUUUUUAACACACUGGAUUGGUCGUUGCUUAGAUUAUUGCACAAACAGAGAUUAAGAGAAACGUGAGGCCCAAAAAUUAAUCUCUUUAGUCGGUUGUAAGACUUGAUGUUCACUCGGCAGACUCGCUUUGUUGACGCCUGUCUUCACCGAGGAAACGCGUGAGGACCCCACUGUUUACAGAAAUCAUUUAUAGAUAUAUUGCUGCGAAUUAAACAGGUCUGGCGAGCAUUUGUAAUAUUCAAAAUGUGCAUUAAUUAAUUAAUUCAGUGUGCCGUUGGUCGCGCGGUGGGGGUCCUGUGUCACCAUUGUUGUGAGGCUCGAGACACAUAAACGGUGAUUUCAAGGCCCAUUGAGCGCGCGAUGGAUUGUACGUAAAAUCUAUUAAAGGGCGGGGAACAUUGAUUAUUCGUAAAAAAAAAAUUAAAUAAAAUAAAAAAAAUAUUUGACGUAUUUGACGUGUUAGAAGAGAUGUGUUGUCGAUAAAACAGAUAUUUAAAGUUUCAUUUAAAAAGAUUGUUUACAUAUGCUGUAUUACUAUUGGGUUUAAAAUAUGCAUAUAAUAGUGACAUCAGGACAUGAUUAAAUGACAGUGGAAAACGUUAUUUAGAGCAGCUUUUCUCGCUUAAUUUAAACAUAAAUCAUAAUAUUCCGUUUGAAUAAUUCAGUAUUCCGAGGUGUUGAGCCAAAAUAGUGAAUUAUUAUUCAUGUGCGAGUUUUUUUGUUUACUGAAAUGUGGCAUAGGUAAAGAAAAAAAUGUUUUGUAAUAGUAGUAUCACUUAUUUCGUUUUGUUGGGGUGGUCAAGGUUUUAUUUUUGCCAAUACUGACAUCUUGUGGUUAUAAGCAGGCACUACAUUGCCUUAGUGCUGUCACGCUAAACCUAUGCUGAUUGGUGAAUAGACUAUGCAUAGGAAUCUAUUUCCUGUUUAGUGAUUUUAUUAUGAACUCAUGACCAGGACACCCCAAAAUAGUAAUUUAUCCCAAAAGGCACAAAGAAUUAGCUUCAUUGGAGUUUCUGUUAAGACAAACUUGUUCAUUAGAAGUGGACGUCGCUCUAAUUUUGCCCAUCAUAUAAUCUACUUCAUAAAUACUCAUUAUAAAAUACACAAACAAUACCUUUAAAUAUCUCGUUGACUAAAUGAUCAAGUUAACACAUGAGCAAGACCAUGACAUCUAAAUAUCGUGGGAAAAAAAAAAAACUAAUGUAAAAUAAUAAUAACAGAAUCAGCACAAGGAAACAUUGAGGAAGGCUGCAAUUACCAAGAAACUGAGUGUGAGAGAAAUAUUUCCCAGAAAUGAAAGAGAGAAUAAAAGAGAAUAAAAAUAGAAAUACCUAUAAAUAAUCGUAUAGCAGAUCUAGCUCCUCCACAAACACACACACACACACACACACACACACACACCCAGAGGUCUUGACAUGGUUCUUUUAUACUGAUACUGCUGUCUGUCAGUGACACAAACACCCUAACACCCACAUAUGAACACGAUUCUGACCUACAUAUAAAUACAAGCGGAGAGAGUGAAACAGACUCGGUGAGACAGCACUCCUACGCACACUCUCUUCCACUCUCACUGCAUGCACAUCCACUGCAUGAAUUCAUCCUAGAUUACUCCUGCUACCUGCUCUCUUCUCCCGCUCAUUCUUCUCUCUUUUCCUAUAAUCAGAGGACACACAUGCAAUUCAUCUGACAGAGCUUUUUCUUCGGUGUUUUGCAAAGCAGUGGACAGGGAGGAAGGACACAUUUCAAGGUCUAAAGAUGGCACCGAAACGAGAACCGUCAAUUAAAAAGUCUCCAUCCGGGGGAACGUUACCGAGGCAUGGACCACCGUUUCCUUGCCCUGCCACGGCGCCUUCACCUCCAAAACCAGCUCCUGAGUUGAAACCGCGGAUGCUGCGCCCCUCUGAUUCCCCCUUUGACCCCAGCACAUUAGAGGUUAAAACCGGCAUAGCAAUCCAUGAUCAUAUCUUGAAGAUAAACAUAAACAAAAUGGAUUUUGGGUAGGAAUUUAGCAUGCACAUCCUGUAUUUGAUGAAUUGACAUUAUACAUUUUAUUCGUUAUUUCUACAAUUCACAGAUAGAAUAUCCAUAUAUGAAUAUAGAUCCUACAUCUGCCUGUGUUUAGGAAUGCAGCAUUGAAUUACACAAUUUAACCUUAAAACAAAUGUUUUAAUCGCCAUGGCUUUACAAACGUAUAAAUCAUCAGCAUUGAAUUCACUCGCUUUGCCAGUUAUGUGCAGUCAAUCAUUAUGUUAUAGUGAUCUAGGCUGGGAGUGUCUCUGUGCACUUAUGUCACUCUUUGUGUGUAAUGAGAAUACUCCACCCGUCACAGUAGUGAAGGGAAGUCCGAAUCAUUCUUGCGAAUCGGUUCUUUCGAACCUUUCGUUUUUAAAAAGCGAUUCGGUGAUUCUUUACGUCAUGACGCGUUCCACAUUUAACAUUAUUAAUACCUACCUAAUUAUUAAUACAAUUACUUUAUUAUUUAAUGAUGUAAUUUCAAGAGUCCCAUUUCAGUUUGUUUCAACCACGAUUCAGCCGAAUGUAUCGUAUUAAAUUAAAAUAUCUUAAAAUAUCGUUACGUCUAUACUGUCUAAUGCUCUUACAAGUUAAUUCAUGGGUUUAUAGAUAAUUAGAUAGACACGUAAAAUACGAUAAACACUGUCUCGGUUCAAUAAGUUCAACUCCAAGCGAAUCGUUUAUUCAUACUGGUAAAGCGGUUCAGCUAAUUCUCUAAAAAAAGAUUCGACUCAGAGAGAUGAUUCGUUCACGAAUCGGAUAUCGCUACCCUUCAUAACUGAGCAGAGCUAGCGCGAGUCUUCUCACACUCCCGCCGCAACACACAACCGGAAAACAAGCCACUGCAGAUAUGGUAGGCAUAUUGAUAAACGUUUAAUGUAAAAUUAGGUUUCGGUAGAACUUUUCUAAAUAAACAUUACUAAGUGCAUGCUCUGGUAACUAUAUACACGCUUAGUGCUAAGAAUCUGUCGCUAGCCUGUCUCAUGCUAGCUAACCGAGUUUUACGCCUUUUAGCACGCAAGAAAGUGACUAAACCUUUAUAAGAUGUUCAGGAAAUUCCUUUACAGAAACCCAAGAGUACGACAGCUAACUUGCAUUCGUUAAAAUACUGUGUUUUAGCCCAUCUUUCACCUGGAAGCACGGCUGUGAGUUAGCGGACAGUAUUAGCUGGUCAGUUUUAGCCAAGCAAAACUUAUCUAACUUUUUCGUGCGGCCUAAAACAAUUACCCAGACGGCAUUGAUGGACCGUAGACGUGUUGUUAUUACAAACCCCAUCUGUUUCACAGCUUUGCUAUUGUGCAUCAUUUCAUAUUCAUUGAA